rnacentral:tRNA from 1 species
UACUUCGUGGUCGAGUUGUGAGGACACUUGCCUUUCACCCUAAAGUCCCGGGUUCAAUCCCCGGUCGAGGAGCUAG